rnacentral:rRNA from 1 species
UACAUGUGGGGCAAGCGUUGUUCGGAAUUACUGGGCAUAAAGGGUGCGUAGGCGGCUUGUUAAGUCACUGGUGAAAGUUUUCGGCCCAACCGGAAAAUUGCCCGUGAUACUGGCGAGCUUGAGUGCGUGAGGGGUAGGGGGAACGAGCAGUGUAGCGGUGAAAUGCGUAGAUAUCUGGAGGAAUACCGGUGGCGAAGGCGGCAUCCUGGACCGGCAUUGACGCUGAGGAGCGAAAGCCAGGGGAGCAAACGGG